AUAGUUUAAUCUUGAAAAAUAGCAAUAUGAUUGAAAUGCAUGCUGCUAAAAGUAUUUUUAUGUAUACUUUACACGCUUUACAUGAAUACAUUAUGUAUAUACUCUACGCAGAUGACAGAGCCUGUUUGUCGCAAACAAGCAUAUUAAUGAUUGGCCGAAAUUACAUGUACAUUUGUUCAAACACUUAUUAUUAGUCAUCCAUGUAUUGAAUAAAUUUCCAUGAAAUUGACUUUAGAUUUGAGUGGCCACGAUAUGUCGUUUUAUUUUGAUAGCUGGACAAAACUAGUCCAUUCCAGUCUAGCUAAAGAUGAGCACUUACAUAUUUGCAUAUAUGCACAUGCAUACGGCUAUCAGUUUCAUUGUUAAAAUGACGUACACAUCCUACUCAACGACAGUAAAUAAGUACAAUAAGUGGAAUCGCCAAACUUGUUUGACCACAACAUUAGUUAUUUUAUCUCUUUGUCCAUUAUUCGCCCUAAAUGCCAUCUGCCUCGAUUUAUUUUGUCAAGUCGUGUCACUUCCAUUAUCAAGCAUAUAAUACGUUACAAAUUUGCAUUGUGUAACUACAUCAAGAACCUACUUUAGUAAUGAAACGCAAUUGCUGAUGUAAAGCUGCCUACAAUUUUGUCGUCGAUUUUGGAAUUAUUAUUAAGAGCAAAAAGGGGCGAACUACUACAUAGACCGAAGGAUACCAAAGGUCCGUUCCAACAAAAAUGCUAUUUAAUACUCGUACUGGGAUUUUGAUUGGAAUCUUGCUGUGCACUUUGUUGUGUGCCGAGAGCAAAGAAGUCGGACUUUUGGAAGAGAUUUCACAACCUCUUGAGAAUCAAGCAUUUAAUGAUCGAGUAAAAAGAAGCCCACAAUCAAGACCAAGCAUCGGAACUCAACAAACACAGGCAUGCUACAACUGUCAAAGAUGUUAUCGUGGGUGUAAUCGCAAUGGGGGCACUUGCUGCUAAUGCUGCUAAUUCUACAAUAUUUACUCAUGAUACGUGGUUUUAUUUACAAAAUUUUGAUCUGAUGGAAAUAUAAUUAAACAAGAUUUGUGCAUAAUUUA